rnacentral:rRNA from 1 species
GAUGAACGCUGGCGGCGUGCCUAAUACAUGCAAGUCGAGCGAACAGGCGAGGAGCUUGCUCCUCUGACGUUAGCGGCGGACGGGUGAGUAACACGUGGAUAACCUACCUAUAAGACUGGGAUAACUUCGGGAAACCGGAGCUAAUACCGGAUAAUAUAUUGAACCGCAUGGUUCAAUAGUGAAAGACGGUUUUGCUGUCACUUAUAGAUGGAUCCGCGCCGCAUUAGCUAGUUGGUAAGGUAACGGCUUACCAAGGCAACGAUGCGUAGCCGACCUGAGAGGGUGAUCGGCCACACUGGAACCGAGACACGGUCCAGACUCCUACGGGAGGCAGCAGUAGGGAAUCUUCCGCAAUGGGCGAAAGCCUGACGGAGCAACGCCGCGUGAGUGAUGAAGGUCUUCGGAUCGUAAAACUCUGUUAUUAGGGAAGAACAAAUGUGUAAGUAACUAUGCACGUCUUGACGGUACCUAAUCAGAAAGCCACGGCUAACUACGUG